ACUCAGGCCUAUAUGGAGAAAGGGUUAGCAUCACCUGAUGUUGGUGACCUGGGAAAACUGCAUGAGUCAAGCAGAGAAAAGAAUUGUUAUUUGAUGGGAAGUCUUCCUGUUGGAGCCAGCCUGGGACAAAUCAUGAAGUAGACCAUGUUACUUCUACUCCAGAGGACAUCUCCCUUCAUCCUCCAAGUUUCUCAAGUGCCUCUUGCUGCUCCCUCCCAUCCAGAGCUUGCCACCCUGAAACGUCUCCUUGUGCAGAUGCGUCCACUUCCUAUGUCCCCCUCGAGUACUCUAUUUCUCUGGGAUUCUGCUUUAUGUUGAAAAACUGAUAAGCAGAUUUAAAGCAAGGACAAAACAUGUUUAAUGGGG
rnacentral:lncRNA from 1 species